rnacentral:rRNA from 1 species
UACAGAGGCCUCGAGCGUUAGGCGGAAUCACUGGGCUUAAAGCGUGCGUAGGCGGAUGUCUAAGUACCUUGUGAAAGCCCGGGGCUCAACUCCGGAACUGCCUUUGAAACUAGAUUGCUAGAAUCUUGGAGAGGCGAGUGGAAUUCCGAGUGUAGAGGUGAAAUUCGUAGAUAUUCGGAAGAACACCAGUGGCGAAGGCGGCUCACUGGACCGGUAUUGACGCUGAGGUGCGAAAGCGUGGGGAGCAAACAGG